rnacentral:rRNA from 1 species
GGAAGGAGAAGUCGUAACAAGGUUUCCGUAGGUGAACCUGCGGAAGGAUCAUUGUCGAAGCCUGCCCAGCAGAACGACCCGCGAACGUGUUAUCGAAAAACAACGGGUGGGGCGAGGCGGCAUCCCCGCCCAUCGUCCCCCUACCCUCGCCUCUCGGGGCGAAACGAACAAACCCCCGGCGCGAAUCGCGCCAAGGAAUCUGAAUUGAAAGGAGCACGUCCCCCGUCGCCACCCCGUCCGCGGUGCGUGUGCCGCGGGGACGCUGCGACUUCGUCGUGAAUACACAAAACGACUCUCGGCAACGGAUAUCUCGGCUCUCGCAUCGAUGAAGAACGUAGCGAAAUGCGAUACUUGGUGUGAAUUGCAGAAUCCCGUGAACCAUCGAGUCUUUGAACGCAAGUUGCGCCCCAAGCCGUUAGGCCGAGGGCACGUCUGCCUGGGUGUCACGCAUCGUCGCCCCCAUCCAACCCUUUCCCCGGAGGGAACGGGUUGCGUUGCGGGCGGACAAUGGCCUCCCGUCCGCGCAUCGCCCGCGGUUGGCCCAAAAUCGAGUCAUCGGCGACCACGGUGCCGCGACGAUCGGUGGUAACGCUUCGGGCUGCCUCGUUCGUAGUCGCGCGCUACCGUCGACCCCGGCUCUCCGACCCUUCCUGCACCGCGAACACGGUGCUCGCGUCGCGACCCCAGGUCAGGCGGGACUACCCGCUGAGUUUAAGCAUAUCAAUAAGCGGAGGA